AUUGAACGCUGGCGGCAGGCCUAACACAUGCACGUCGAACGAGUGGCGGACGGGUGAGUAAUGUCUGGGAAACUGCCUGAUGGAGGUGGAUAACUACUGGACACGGUAGCUAAUACCGCAUACCAUCAGAUGUGCCCAGAUGGGAUUAGCUUGUUGGUGUGGUAACGGCGCACCAAGGCGACGAUCCCUAGCUGGUCUGAGAGGAUGACCAGCAACAAUGGAACGGCGACAAGGGCCAGACGCCUACGUGAGGCAGGAGUGGGGAAUAGUGCACAAUGGGCGCAAGCCUGAUGCAGCCAUGCCGAGUGUAUGAAGAAGGCCUUAGGGUUGUAAAGUACUUUCAGCGGGGAGGCGUUACCCGCAGAAGAAGCACCGGCUAACUCCGGGCCAGCAGCCGCGGUAAUAC
rnacentral:rRNA from 1 species